rnacentral:rRNA from 1 species
GACGAACGCUGGCGGCGUGCCUAACACAUGCAAGUCGAACGGAGCAGAUCCCUUCGGGGGUUUGCUUAGUGGCGAACGGGUGAGUAACGCGUGAGGAACCUGCCUUUCAGUGGGGGACAACAGUUGGAAACGACUGCUAAUACCGCAUAAUGCAUUUAGGGGGCAUCCCCUGAAUGCCAAAGCUUUAUGUGCUGAAAGAUGGUCUCGCGUCUGAUUAGCUAGUUGGUGGGGUAACGGCCCACCAAGGCGACGAUCAGUAGCCGGUCUGAGAGGAUGAACGGCCACAUUGGGACUGAGAUACGGCCCAG